rnacentral:rRNA from 1 species
UACAUAGGGUGCGAGCGUUAAUCGGAAUUACUGGGCGUAAAGCGUGCGCAGGCGGUUCGUUGUGUCGGUGGUGAAAGCCCCGGGCUUAACCUGGGAAUGGCCGUCGAAACUGGCGAACUGGAGUGUGGCAGAGGGGGGUGGAAUUCCGCGUGUAGCAGUGAAAUGCGUAGAGAUGCGGAGGAACACCGAUGGCGAAGGCAGCCCCCUGGGCUGACACUGACGCUCAGGCACGAAAGCGUGGGGAGCAAACAGG